rnacentral:rRNA from 1 species
UACGUAGGGUGCGAGCGUUGUCCGGAAUUAUUGGGCGUAAAGAGCUCGUAGGUGGCGGGUCACGUCGGGUGUGAAAGCCCGGGGCUCAACCUCGGGCUUGCAGUGGGUACGGGCAGACUAGAGUGCGGUAGGGGGAGACUGGAAUUCCUGGUGUAGCGGUGGAAUGCGCAGAUAUCAGGAGGAACACCGAUGGCGAAGGCAGGUCUCUGGGCCGCAACUGACGCUGAGGAGCGAAAGCAUGGGGGAGCGAACAGG